rnacentral:rRNA from 1 species
AUUGAACGCUAGCGGGAUGCUUUACACAUGCAAGUCGAACGAGUGGCGGACGGGUGAGCAAUAUAUCGGAACGUGCCCAGUAGCGGGGGCUAACUACUCGAAAGGGUGGCUAAUACCGCAUACUUUUGGAUCCGCCGAUAUCGGAUUAGCUAGUUGGUGGGGUAAAGGCUCACCAAUGCAACGAUCCGUAGCUGGUCUGAGAGGACGGCCAGCCACACUGGGACUGAGACACGGCCCAGACUCCUACGGGAGGAAGCAGUGGGGAAUUUUGGACAAUGGGGGAAACCCUAAUGCCGCCAUCCCGCGUGUAUGAGAAGGCCUUCGGGUUGUAAAGUACUUUUGGCAGAGAAGCGGUAUCUUAAGAAUAAGCACCGGCUAACUACGUGCCAGCAGCCGCGGUAAUUC